rnacentral:misc_RNA from 1 species
UCCGAGUUGACCCCGGCAGUCUCCUACGAGUCCCCGGCAUAACCCGCUGGCAACAUAGGACAAGGGUUGCGCUCGUUAAUGGACUUAACCAAACAUCUCACGACACGAGCUGACGACGGCCAUGCAACAUCUGUCACCGAGUUCAAUAAAGCACUCUCGCCUCUCGGCAAAAUUCUCGGGAUGUCAAACCCUGGUAAGGUUCUUCGUUUAGCAUCGAAUUAAAGAACAUGAUCCACCGCUUGUGCGGCUCCCCGUCAAUUCCUUUAUGUUUUAGUCUUGCGACCGUACUCCACAGGCGGGAUACUUAACGCGUUAGCUUCGCUACUGAAGGGGUCGAUACCUCCAACAGCUAGUAUCCAUCGUUUACGGCGUGGACUAC